rnacentral:rRNA from 1 species
GACGAACGCUGGCGGCGUGCUUAACACAUGCAAGUCGAACGAAGUGGCGAACGGGUGAGUAACGCGUAAUCAACCUCCCCUUCAGAGGGGGACAACAGUUGGAAACGACUGCUAAUACCGCAUACUGAUGGAGUGGAUGGCGUCUUAUGAGCUAGUUGGAGGGGUAACGGCCCACCAAGGCGAUGAUCAGUAGCCGGUCUGAGAGGAUGAACGGCCACAUGGGGACUGGGACACGGCCCCGACUCCUAAGGGGGGCAGCAGUGGGGAAUCUUCCGCAAUUGACGAAAGGCUGACUGAGCAACGCCGCGUGAGUGAUGACGGCCUUCGGGUUGUAAAGCUCUGUUAAGCGGGACGCGGUACCCGAAUAGAAAGCAACGGCUAACUACGUGCCAGCAGCCGCGGUAAUUC